AUCACCUGGUGAUCUUGUUAAAAUGCAGAUUCUGAUUCAGUGAGUCUGAGAUUUUGCAUUUCUAACAAGCUCCCAGGUAGUGCCAU
rnacentral:pre_miRNA from 1 species